rnacentral:rRNA from 1 species
GGAAUAUUGGUCAAUGGACGAGAGUCUGAACCAGCCAAGUAGCGUGCAGGAUGACGGCCCUAUGGGUUGUAAACUGCUUUUAUGCGGGGAUAAAGUGAGGGACGUGUCCCUUUUUGUAGGUACCGCAUGAAUAAGGACCGGCUAAUUCCGUGCCAGCAGCCGCGGUAAUACGGAAGGUCCGGGCGUUAUCCGGAUUUAUUGGGUUUAAAGGGAGCGCAGGCUGAUUGUUAAGCGUGACGUGAAAUGUAGCCGCUCAACGGCUGCACUGCGUCGCGAACUGGCAGUCUUGAGUGAGUACGACGUCAGCGGAAUUCGUGGUGUAGCGGUGAAAUGCUUAGAUAUCACGAAGAACCCCGAUUGCGAAGGCAGCUGACGAGUCCUUUACUGACGCUAAAGCUCGAAGGUGCGGGUAUCGAACA